rnacentral:rRNA from 1 species
UACAGAGGUCCCAAGCGUUGUUCGGAUUCAUUGGGCGUAAAGGGUGCGUAGGUGGCGUGGUAAGUCGGGUGUGAAAUCCCGGGGCUCAACCCCGGGACUGCAUUCGAUACUGCCGUGCUUGAGGACUGGAGAGGAGACUGGAAUUUACGGUGUAGCAGUGAAAUGCGUAGAGAUCGUAAGGAAGACCAGUGGCGAAGGCGGGUCUCUGGACAGUUCCUGACACUGAGGCACGAAGGCCAGGGGAGCAAACGGG